rnacentral:rRNA from 1 species
CGCCCUUAGAGUUUGAUCAUGGCUCAGGACGAACGCUGGCGGCGUGCCUAAUACAUGCAAGUCGAACGCAGCUUGCUUUGGUAAGAUGAGUGGCGAACGGGUGAGUAACACGUGGGUAACCUGCCUAUCAGAGGGGGAUAACACUUGGAAACAGGUGCUAAUACCGCAUAGAUUUCUUUCGCAUGAAAAGAGAGGAAAGACGUACGUGUCACUGAUAGAUGGACCCGCGGUGCAUUAGCUAGUUGGUGAGGUAACGGCUCACCAAGGCCAUGAUGCAUAGCCGACCUGAGAGGGUGAUCGGCCACACUGGGACUGAGACACGGCCCAGACUCCUACGGGAGGCAGCAGUAGGGAAUCUUCGGCAAUGGACGAAAGUCUGACCGAGCAACGCCGCGUGAGUGAAGAAGGUUUUCGGAUCGUAAAACUCUGUUGUUAGAGAAGAAUAGGUAGGAGUGACUUCCUGCCAUGACGGUAUCUAACCAGAAGGCCACGGCUAACUACAUGCCAGCAGCCGCGGUAAUACGUAGGUGGCAAGCGUUGUCCGGAUUUAUUGGGGCGUAAGCGGGCGGCAG